CUUUGAAAAUAUUUUCUUUGAAAAAUUAAAAUUAACUAAUGAAACCAGUAAAAUAUUCUUGUACAGUAAAAUAAAAACAAAAUAUGAAAUAGACAAAUACAUUUCUAAAAAUAGUUUUGAAAAUAGAAAAUUAUUAUGUAAAAUGCGAGUAAGUGACCAUUUCUUGGAAAUAGAGAGGGGUAGAUAUAAAAGAAUUCAAAGAGAAAAUAGAAUAUGUAAACAUUGUAAUAUUUAAAUGCGGUUGAAGAUGAAACCCACUUUUUCUUAAAAUGUAAAAUUAAUAAAUCUUUACGUAAUCAGCUUGAAAAAGAUAUAAAUAAUAUAUGUCCAGAAUACUUUAAUUUGUCUGAAACAGAUAGAUUACAAUUAAUUCUAUCUUCAUUUGAUAUUAUGCAGCUUACUGUUCCGUUCAUUAAAAAGUCAUUUGCACUGAGGGGAGUGGACACAACGCCUGCAUAAAUAUUACUGUUUUACCACUUUAUAUAUGAUGUUUAAUAUGUUAAUUUUUAUAUUGUGUAUAUUGUAUUGUAUUGUUUGUAUAUGCCUUCAACCCCCAGGGGUAUAAAUGUGCAUUUCAUUAAUAAAUAAAUUAAAUAAUUCUUAUAUAAAAUCUCGCAAAAUUAUGACCCAUAUUUUUGGCACAUCCCCGUAUACCCAAUAAGAGGAAGUUGCCCCUCCGUGCAUAAAACUUGAAGGUCGACCACCUCUAUAUCAUAGUACUACUAUAUAUACCGACUGAAAAAUAUGCACAGUGUCACUGACUUUCAGUACUUAAAGUUAAAUGUAAAUCCUGUUAGUAGUCAGUAUUUCCAUAAGACAGCAACCAGACAACAACACAAGGCC
rnacentral:lncRNA from 1 species